rnacentral:rRNA from 1 species
GACGAACGCUGGCGGCGUGCCUAACACAUGCAAGUCGAGCGGAGAUGUACUGAAGAUUUAUCGGAUGUACAUCUUAGCGGCGGACGGGUGAGUAACGCGUGGGCAACCUGCCUUUCACUGGGGGAUAACACAGGGAAACCUGUGCUAAUACCGCAUGACAUCACGUAGGGCAUCCUAUGUGAUCAAAGGAGAGAUCCGGUGGAAGAUGGGCCCGCGUCCAAUUAGCUGGUUGGUGAGGUAAAGGCUCACCAAGGCGACGAUUGGUAGCCGAACUGAGAGGUUGAUCGGCCACAUUGGGACUGAGACACGGCCCAGACUCCUACGGGAGGCAGCAGUGGGGAAUAUUGCGCAAUGGGGGAACCCUGACGCAGCAACGCCGCGUGAAGGAAGAAGGUCUUCGGAUUGUAAACUUCUUUGAUGAGGGACGAAUAAAGUGACGGUACCUCAAAACAAGCCACGGCUAACUACGUGCCAGCAGCCGCGGUAAUCAUUCGUA